rnacentral:rRNA from 1 species
AGUGAACGCUGGCGGUAGGCCUAACACAUGCAAGUCGAACGGCAGCACAGUAAGAGCUUGCUCUUACGGGUGGCGAGUGGCGGACGGGUGAGGAAUACAUCGGAAUCUACUUUUUCUUGGGGGAUAACGUAGGGAAACUUACGCUAAUACCGCAUACUACCUACGGGUGAAAGCAGGGGAUCUUCGGACCUUGCGCGAUUGAAUGAGCCGAUGUCGGAUUAGCUAGUUGGCGGGGUAAAGGCCCACCAAGGCAACGAUCCGUAGCUGGCCUGAGAGGAUGAUCGGCCACACUGGAACUGAGACACGGUCCAGACUCCUACGGGAGGCAGCAGUGGGGAAUCUUCGGCAAAGGGCGAAAGCCUGAUCGAGCAACACCGCGUGAGUGAAGAAGGUCUUCGGGUUGUAAAGCUCUUUUAUUGGGAAAGAAAAGAUGUAUAUUUAUAUGUGCAUGUUUUGACGGUACCUAAUGAAUAAGCAACGGCUAACUUCGUG